GACGAACGCUGGCGGCGUGCUUAACACAUGCAAGUCGAGCGGUAAGGCUCCUUCGGGAGUACACGAGCGGCGAACGGGUGAGUAACACGUGAGUAAUCUGCCCUUCACUUUGGGAUAAGCCUCGGAAACGGGGUCUAAUACCGAAUACGACCACUUCAGGCAUCUGAUGGUGGUGGAAAGUUUUUCGGUGGAGGAUGUGCUCGCGGCCUAUCAGCUUGUUGGUGAGGUAAUGGCUCACCAAGGCUUCGACGGGUAGCCGGCCUGAGAGGGUGACCGGCCACACUGGGACUGAGACACGGCCCAGACUCCUACGGGAGGCAGCAGUGGGGAAUAUUGGACAAUGGGCGAAAGCCUGAUCCAGCAACGCCGCGUGAGGGAUGACUGCCUUCGGGUUGUAAACCUCUUUCAGUACCGACGAAGCGAAAGUGACGGUAGGUACAGAAGAAGCACCGGCCAACUACGUGCCAGCCGCCGCAGUAAUAC
rnacentral:rRNA from 1 species